AUUGAACGCUGGCGGCAUGCUUUACACAUGCAAGUCGAACGGUAACAGGCCGCAAGGUGCUGACGAGUGGCGAACGGGUGAGUAAUGCAUCGGAACGUGCCCAGUCGUGGGGGAUAACGCAGCGAAAGCUGCGCUAAUACCGCAUACGAUCUAUGGAUGAAAGCGGGGGACCGUAAGGCCUCGCGCGAUUGGAGCGGCCGAUGUCAGAUUAGGUAGUUGGUGGGGUAAAGGCUCACCAAGCCGACGAUCUGUAGCUGAUCUGAGAGGACGACCAGCCACACUGGGACUGAGACACGGCCCAGACUCCUACGGGAGGCAGCAGUGGGGAAUUUUGGACAAUGGGCGCAAGCCUGAUCCAGCAAUGCCGCGUGCAGGAAGAAGGCCUUCGGGUUGUAAACUGCUUUUGUACGGAACGAAACGGCUCUGGUUAAUACCUGGGGCUAAUGACGGUACCGUAAGAAUAAGCACCGGCUAACUACGUGCCAGCCGCCGCCGUAAUAC
rnacentral:rRNA from 1 species